CAUACUUAACCAUGAAGUUCUUAUGAGUUGGGCUCCUGAAAAGAAGUUGCAACUUGUUUUCGAGAGCCCAACUCAUAAGAACUCCAUGAUUAAGUGUG
rnacentral:pre_miRNA from 1 species